GACGAACGCUGGCGGCGUGCUUAACACAUGCAAGUCGAGCGGUAAGGCCCUUUCGGGGGUACGACGAGCGGCGAACGGGUGAGUAACACGUGGGUGACCUGCCCUCAGCUCUGGGAUAAGCCUGGGAAACCGGGUCUAAUACUGGAUAUGACUCCAUGACGCAUGUUGUGGGGUGGAAAGCCUUGUGCGGCUGAGGAUGGGCCCGCGGCCUAUCAGCUUGUUGGUGGGGUGANGGCCUACCAAGGCGACGACGGGUAGCCGGCCUGAGAGGGCGACCGGCCACACUGGGACUGAGACACGGCCCCGACUCCUACGGGAGGCAGCAGUGGGGAAUAUU
rnacentral:rRNA from 1 species